GUAGGGAAUUUUCGGCAAUGGGCGAAAGCCUGACCGAGCAACGCCGCGUGAGGGAAGAAGGUCUUCGGAUCGUAAACCUUUGUCUUCGGGGAAGAUAAUGACGGUACCCGAGGAGGAAGCCACGGCUAACUACGUGCCAGCAGCCGCGGUAAUACGUAGGUGGCAAGCGUUGUCCGGAAUUACUGGGCGUAAAGGGCGUGUAGGCGGUCUAUCAAGUCAGGCGUGAAAAUUCAAGGCUUAACCAUGAAACUGCGUUUGAAACUGAUAGACUUGAGGAUCGGAGAGGGCAGUGGAAUUCCCAGUGUAGCGGUGAAAUGCGUAGAUAUUGGGAAGAACACCAGUGGCGAAGGCGGCUGCCUGGACGACACCUGACGCUGAGGCGCGAAAGCUAGGGGAGCAAACGGGAUUAGAAACCCCGGUAGUCC
rnacentral:rRNA from 1 species